UGUUAAAAAAUUCAUCUAUUUCUACUAUUAAACAUUGGCGUGGCUAACAGAAUAAACAGACUGUUGACAUACCAGGACCAAUUUUUAAUAGUGGAAAUGGAUAAAAUUUUUAAUA
rnacentral:pre_miRNA from 1 species